rnacentral:rRNA from 1 species
GAUAAACGCUGGCGGCGUGCCUAAUACAUGCAAGUCGAGCGAACGGACGAGAAGCUUGCUUCUCUGAUGUUAGCGGCGGACGGGUGAGUAACACGUGGAUAACCUACCUAUAAGACUGGGAUAACUUCGGGAAACCGGAGCUAAUACCGGAUAAUAUUUUGAACCGCAUGGUUCAAAAGUGAAAGACGGUCUUGCUGUCACUUAUAGAUGGAUCCGCGCUGCAUUAGCUAGUUGGUAAGGUAACGGCUUACCAAGGCAACGAUGCAUAGCCGACCUGAGAGGGUGAUCGGCCACACUGGAACUGAGACACGGUCCAGACUCCUACGGGAGGCAGCAGUAGGGAAUCUUCCGCAAUGGGCGAAAGCCUGACGGAGCAACGCCGCGUGAGUGAUGAAGGUCUUCGGAUCGUAAAACUCUGUUAUUAGGGAAGAACAUAUGUGUAAGUAACUGUGCACAUCUUGACGGUACCUAAUCAGAAAGCCACGGCUAACUACGUGCCAGCAGCCGCGGUAAUACGUAGGUGGCAAGCGUUAUCCAGAAUUAUUGGGCGUAAAGCGCGCGUAGGCGGUUUUUUAAGUCUGAUGUGAAAGCCCACGGCUCAACCGUGGAGGGUCAUUGGAAACUGGAAAACUUGAGUGCAGAAGAGGAAAGUGGAAUUCCAUGUGUAGCGGUGAAAUGCGCAGAGAUAUGGAGGAACACCAGUGGCGAAGGCGACUUUCUGGUCUGUAACUGACGCUGAUGUGCGAAAGCGUGGGGAUCAAACAGGAUUAGAUACCCUGGUAGUCCACGCCGUAAACGAUGAGUGCUAAGUGUUAGGGGGUUUCCGCCCCUUAGUGCUGCAGCUAACGCAUUAAGCACUCCGCCUGGGGAGUACGACCGCAAGGUUGAAACUCAAAGGAAUUGACGGGGACCCGCACAAGCGGUGGAGCAUGUGGUUUAAUUCGAAGCAACGCGAAGAACCUUACCAAAUCUUGACAUCUUUUGACAACUCUAGAGAUAGAGCCUUCCCCUUCGGGGGACAAAGUGACAGGUGGUGCAUGGUUGUCGUCGGCUCGUGUCGUGAGAUGUUGGGUUAAGUCCCGCAACGAGCGCAACCCUUAAGCUUAGUUGCCAUCAUUAAGUUGGGCACUCUAAGUUGACUGCCGGUGACAAACCGGAGGAAGGUGGGGAUGACGUCAAAUCAUCAUGCCCCUUAUGAUUUGGGCUACACACGUGCUACAAUGGACAAUACAAAGGGCAGCGAAACCGCGAGGUCAAGCAAAUCCCAUAAAGUUGUUCUCAGUUCAGAUUGUAGUCUGCAACUCGACUACAUGAAGCUGGAAUCGCUAGUAAUCGUAGAUCAGCAUGCUACGGUGAAUACGUUCCCGGGUCU